ACUCCAGGUGCGCGACGGCGGCGGCGAUCGUCUCCCGGUCGGUGAGCUGCUCGAUCACGAGUUCGGGGCUCGUCCGGUGCGC
rnacentral:tRNA from 1 species